rnacentral:rRNA from 1 species
UACGUAGGGGGCAAGCGUUGUCCGGAUUCAUUGGGCGUAAAGAGCGUGUAGGCGGCCAGGUAGGUCGGUUGUGAAAACUGGAGGCUCAACCUUCAGAGGUCGACCGAAACCAUCUGGCUAGAGUCCGGGAGAGGUGAGUGGAAUUCCUAGUGUAGAGGUGAAAUUCGUAGAUAUUAGGAAGAACACCAGUGGUGAAGGCGGCUCACUGGCCCGGUACUGACGCUGAGGCGCGAAAGCGUGGGGAGCAAACAGG